rnacentral:rRNA from 1 species
GACGAACGCUGGCGGCGUGCCUAACACAUGCAAGUUGAGCGCGGAAGUCUGGUACUUGUACCGACUGGAUGAUCAGCGAACGGGUGAGUAACUCGUGGGGAAUCUGCCUUUGAGCGGGGGACAACAUUUGGAGACGAAUGCUAAGACCGCAUAAAAACUUUACACACAAGUUUUAAGUUUGAAAGAUGCAAUUUCAUCACUUAAAGAUGAGCCCGCGUUGGAUUAGCUAGGUGGUAAGGUAAAGGCUCACCAAGGCGACGAUACAUAGCUGGCCUGAGAGGAUGAUCAGCCACACUGGGAAGGAGACACGGACGGGACUCCUACGGGAGGCAGCAGGGGGGAAUAUUGGAAAAUGGGGGAAAGACUGAUGGAGCAAUGACGCGUGAGUGAUGAAGGCCUUAGGGUUGUAAAGUGCUUUUACAAGGGAUGAUAAUGACAGUAACGGGAGAAUAAGCUGCGGCUAACUCCGUG